CAGAGGUUGAUUAUAAAAAAUGUUUUACUGUGUUAAAAAAACUUCGACUUAAACAAUGAAAACUUACACGUUGGACAUGAAAUAUUUUGUCAAUGAAGAAAAUUAAAUUAUGUCACUUCUGAAAUAAGUUUGUCGAUAACGUAACUUAUUCUGACGGUAAAGAAACGCGAAUUCGAUCACUUCUCUGUUACGGGCUGUAUGU
rnacentral:lncRNA from 1 species